GUGGAUUAGAUACCCUGGUAGUCCACGCCGUAAACUAUGGAAGCUAGCCGUCAGUCAGCUUGCUGAGUGGUGGCGCAGCUAACGCAUUAAGCUUCCCGCCUGGGGAGUACGGUCGCAAGAUUAAACUCAAAGGAAUUGACGGGGGCCCGCACAAGCGGUGGAGCAUGUGGUUUAAUUCGAAGCAACGCGCAGAACCUUACCUACCCUUGACAUGUCCAGUAUGGUCACCAGAGAUGGAGUCCUUCAGUUCGGCUGGCUGGAACACAGGUGCUGCACGGUCGUCGACAACU
rnacentral:rRNA from 1 species